ACAUUGUGGUAGCAGUGGCUGUGCUUCACAAUAUUGCAAAGGAACGAAAUUCUUCUUUUUUAUGUGAUUGUUCUUCUGAUCAUCCAGAUUCAACUAAUGUUGACCUUAGUGCAUUAAGCAGUUUAUCUAACGUUAAUGCUAGCAGCACUGGAAAUGCAUUCCGAUCAGCUUUUGUAAAUGCUUAUUUCUGAAUUAAAACGCUGGAAGAAAUCAAACAAUCGUUUUUAAUUUGAAACUCAUUAAUUUAUUUGUAAUUCAUUAAACAUUAAAUAAAAGACAUAAAAAACAAGAA